rnacentral:misc_RNA from 1 species
GAUGAAGAACGUAGCGAAAUGCGAUAAGUAAUGUGAAUUGCAGAAUUCAGUGAAUCAUCGAAUCUUUGAACGCACAUUGCGCCCGCCAGUACUCUGGCGGGCAUGCCUGUUCGAGCGUCAUUUCAACCCUCAAGCCCCCGGGCUUGGUGUUGGGGAUCGGCGUGCCCUCGCGGCGCGCCGUCCCCUAAAUCUAGUGGCGGUCUCGCUGUAGCUUCCUCUGCGUAGUAGCAACACUCGCACUGGAUCGCAGCGCGGCCACGCCGUUAAACCCCCCACUUCUGAAAGUUUGACCUCGGAUCAGGUAGGAAUACCCGCUGAACUUAAGCAUAUCAAUAAGCGGAGGA